UACAGAGGUCUCAAGCGUUGUUCGGAUUCAUUGGGCGUAAAGGGUGCGUAGGCGGCGCGGUAAGUCGGGUGUGAAAUCUCGGAGCUUAACUCCGAAACUGCAUUCGAUACUGCCGUGCUUGAGGACUGGAGAGGAGACUGGAAUUUACGGUGUAGCGGUGAAAUGCGUAGAUAUCGUAAGGAAGACCAGUGGCGAAGGCGGGUCUCUGGACAGGUCCUGACGCUGAGGCACGAAGGUGAGGGGAGCAAACGGG
rnacentral:rRNA from 1 species